UACGUAGGUGGCGAGCGUUGUCCGGAUUUACUGGGCGUAAAGAGCGCGCAGGCGGUCGUUCAAGUCGCGUGUGAAAGCCCCCGGCUCAACUGGGGAGGGUCACGCGAUACUGAUCGACUCGAAGGCAGGAGAGGGAAGUGGAAUUCCCGGUGUAGUGGUGAAAUGCGUAGAUAUCGGGAGGAACACCAGUGGCGAAGGCGACUUCCUGGCCUGUUCUUGACGCUGAGGCGCGAAAGCUAGGGGGAGCAAACGGG
rnacentral:rRNA from 1 species